rnacentral:rRNA from 1 species
UACGGAGGAUGCGAGCGUUAUCCGGAUUUAUUGGGUUUAAAGGGUGCGUAGGCGGACGCUUAAGUCAGCGGUAAAAUUGCGGGGCUCAACCUCGUCGAGCCGUUGAAACUGGGUGUCUUGAGUGGGCGAGAAGUACGCGGAAUGCGUGGUGUAGCGGUGAAGUGCAUAGAUAUCACGCAGAACUCCGAUUGCGAGGGCAGCGUACCGGCGCCCAACUGACGCUGAAGCACGAAGGCGUGGGUAUCGAACAGG